rnacentral:rRNA from 1 species
AGUAACGAUAAAGCGGGUGAAAAGCCCGCUCGCCGGAAGACCAAGGGUUCCUGUCCAACGUUAAUCGGGGCAGGGUGAGUCGACCCCUAAGGCGAGGCCGAAAGGCGUAGUCGAUGGGAAACAGGUUAAUAUUCCUGUACUUGGUGUUACUGCGAAGGGGGGACGGAGAAGGCUAUGUUGGCCGGGCGACGGUUGUCCCGGUUUAAGCGUGUAGGCUGGUUUUCCAGGCAAAUCCGGAAAAUCAAGGCUGAGGCGUGAUGACGAGGCACUACGGUGCUGAAGCAACAAAUGCCCUGCUUCCAGGAAAAGCCUCUAAGCAUCAGGUAACAUCAAAUCGUACCCCAAACCGACACAGGUGGUCAGGUAGAGAAUACCAAGGCGCUUGAGAGAACUCGGGUGAAGGAACUAGGCAAAAUGGUGCCGUAACUUCGGGAGAAGGCACGCUGAUAUGUAGGUGAAGUCCCUCGCGGAUGGAGCUGAAAUCAGUCGAAGAUACCAGCUGGCUGCAACUGUUUAUUAAAAACACAGCACUGUGCAAACACGAAAGUGGACGUAUACGGUGUGACGCCUGCCCGGUGCCGGAAGGUUAAUUGAUGGGGUCAGCGCAAGCGAAGCUCUUGAUCGAAGCCCCGGUAAACGGCGGCCGUAACUAUAACGGUCCUAAGGUAGCGAAAUUCCUUGUCGGGUAAGUUCCGACCUGCACGAAUGGCGUAAUGAUGGCCAGGCUGUCUCCACCCGAGACUCAGUGAAAUUGAACUCGCUGUGAAGAUGCAGUGUACCCGCGGCAAGACGGAAAGACCCCGUGAACCUUUACUAUAGCUUGACACUGAACAUUGAGCCUUGAUGUGUAGGAUAGGUGGGAGGCUUUGAAGUGUGGACGCCAGUCUGCAUGGAGCCGGCCUUGAAAUACCACCCUUUAAUGUUUGAUGUUCUAACGUUGACCCGUUAUCCGGGUUGCGGACAGUGUCUGGUGGGUAGUUUGACUGGGGCGGUCUCCUCCUAAAGAGUAACGGAGGAGCACGAAGGUUGGCUAAUCCUGGUCGGACAUCAGGAGGUUAGUGCAAUGGCAUAAGCCAGCUUGACUGCGAGCGUGACGGCGCGAGCAGGUGCGAAAGCAGGUCAUAGUGAUCCGGUGGUUCUGAAUGGAAGGGCCAUCGCUCAACGGAUAAAAGGUACUCCGGGGAUAACAGGCUGAUACCGCCCAAGAGUUCAUAUCGACGGCGGUGUUUGGCACCUCGAUGUCGGCUCAUCACAUCCUGGGGCUGAAGUAGGUCCCAAGGGUAUGGCUGUUCGCCAUUUAAAGUGGUACGCGAGCUGGGUUUAGAACGUCGUGAGACAGUUCGGUCCCUAUCUGCCGUGGGCGCUGGAGAACUGAGGGGGGCUGCUCCUAGUACGAGAGGACCGGAGUGGACGCAUCACUGGUGUUCGGGUUGUCAUGCCAAUGGCACUGCCCGGUAGCUAAAUGCGGAAGAGAUAAGUGCUGAAAGCAUCUAAGCACGAAACUUGCCCCGAGAUGAGUUCUCCCUGACUCCUUGAGAGUCCUGAAGGAACGUUGAAGACGACGACGUUGAUAGGCCGGGUGUGUAAGCGCAGCGAUGCGUUGAGCUAACCGGUACUAAUGAACCGUGAGG